GGGGACGUUACGGAUUCGACAGGGGUAGUCUGAGCUUAAGUUGCGCGUCGGAGGGGUCGGCUCCGUAAAAACGCCAUUUAUAAUAACAGGCAAAACAAACAACAAUUUAGCAUUCGCAGCGUAAGCUGACUGAAUCUGCCUUAUCGUACCAUCGCCCAUGUGGCGCGGUAAGGUUCACUUAUUAGUGGGAUACGCUAGUUAUCGCCUCCUGAGGUAACUAGAAGAGAUUACCAGGAUAGCGCACAGGACGCCGUGAUUGACGGCAAAGUGCUGCGCGAAACCUAAGUAGUCAAUCUAUGCGCGUAGACGCUUAAGUGUUGGGGCCUCUGGACGCGGGUUCGACUCCCGCCGUCUCCAUAC
rnacentral:tmRNA from 1 species